rnacentral:rRNA from 1 species
AAAUUGAAGAGUUUGAUCAUGGCUCAGAUUGAACGCUGGCGGCAGGCCUAACACAUGCAAGUCGAACGGUAACAGGAAGCAGCUUGCUGCUUUGCUGACGAGUGGCGGACGGGUGAGUAAUGUCUGGGAAACUGCCUGAUGGAGGGGGAUAACUACUGGAAACGGUAGCUAAUACCGCAUAACGUCGCAAGACCAAAGAGGGGGACCUUCGGGCCUCUUGCCAUCGGAUGUGCCCAGAUGGGAUUAGCUAGUAGGUGGGGUAAAGGCUCACCUAGGCGACGAUCCCUAGCUGGUCUGAGAGGAUGACCAGCCACACUGGAACUGAGACACGGUCCAGACUCCUACGGGAGGCAGCAGUGGGGAAUAUUGCACAAUGGGCGCAAGCCUGAUGCAGCCAUGCCGCGUGUAUGAAGAAGGCCUUCGGGUUGUAAAGUACUUUCAGCGGGGAGGAAGGGAGUAAAGUUAAUACCUUUGCUCAUUGACGUUACCCGCAGAAGAAGCACCGGCUAACUCCGUGCCAGCAGCCGCGGUAAUACGGAGGGUGCAAGCGUUAAUCGGAAUUACUGGGCGUAAAGCGCACGCAGGCGGUUUGUUAAGUCAGAUGUGAA